UACGUAGGGAGCAAGCGUUGUCCGGAAUCAUUGGGCGUAAAGCGCAUGCAGGCGGUCCUGUAAGUUUGGAGUGACAGUUUCCGGCUCAACCGGGAAAGUGCUUUGAAAACUGCAGGACUUGAGGGCUUCAGAGGGACACGGAAUUCCGGGUGGAGUGGUGAAAUGCGUAGAUAUCCGGAGGAACACCGAAGGCGAAGGCAGUGUCCUGGGGAGCACCUGACGCUCAGAUGCGAAAGCCAGGGGAGCGAACGGG
rnacentral:rRNA from 1 species